CAGUCGCCGCGGUAAUACGUAGGGGGCGAGCGUUGUCCGAAGUUACUGGGCGUAAAGAGCGCGUAGGCUGGUCUUUAAGUGAGUGGUGAAAGGUUCGGGCUCAACCCGGACACUGCCUUUCAUACUGGGGACCUUGAGUGUGGGAGAGGCGAGUGGAAUGGUCGGUGUAGCGGUGAAAUGCGUAGAUAUCAGAAGGAACAUCCGUGGCGAAGGCAGCCCCCUGGGCCAAUACUGACGCUCAUGCACGAAAGCGUGGGGAGCAAACAGGAUUAGAUACCCCCGUAGUCCCUGUCUCUUAUAC
rnacentral:rRNA from 1 species